rnacentral:misc_RNA from 1 species
GAUGAAGAACGUAGCGAAAUGCGAUAAGUAAUGCGAAUUGCAGAAUUUCCGUGAGUCAUCGAAUCUUUGAACGCACAUUGCACCCACUGGUAUUCCGGUGGACAUGCCUGUUCGAGCGUCAUUAUCCUCCCUCAAACCCCGGGUUUGGUGUUGGACCGAAGUUGUGUGAACAACUGGUCUAAAAAACAAUGACGGCGUCCGUGGGACCCUCGGUGCAACGAGCUUUUAGGAGCACGCGCCGAGUUGCAAGGACCUUCCGGGCCGGUCUCCUUUUACUAUUUUACAAGGUUGACCUCGGAUCAGGUAGGAAUACCCGCUGAACUUAAGCAUAUCAAUAAGCGGAGGA